rnacentral:lncRNA from 1 species
CCCGCGGCCACGCGCCGCUCACCCUGACGCAGAGCCCGCUUCGCGGUCGCGCUGCCGGCGGGCCCCAGGCAACGCUCGGCUCGAGUGCUGAUGUCACAGCGAAGAACCUGAAGCCACCUGAGCGUACUCGUGUGCGGAGCCACGGGUGAAACCACCGCCCCAGGAGAAAGGGACGGAAGGACCCGACAGGAACGGGAACAGUUCUCACAGCCAACAAGCCUUCUCUCGGGAAUCUCUUGGAUCACAAGUCCCAAGAACAAGGUAAGAUAUGUCUCUCUGAGACAAAGGAGAGGAAGCUAAUUGUGUGCCAAGAGGAAUGGAACAAGUACAU